rnacentral:rRNA from 1 species
CCCGCUGAACUUAAGCAUAUCAAUAAGCGGAGGAAAAGAAACUAACAAGGAUUCCCCUAGUAACUGCGAGUGAAGCGGGAAAAGCUCAAAUUUAAAAUCUGGUGGUCUUUGGCCAUCCGAGUUGUAAUUUAGAGAAGCGUCUUCCGCGCUGGACCGUGCACAAGUCUCCUGGAACGGAGCGUCGUAGAGGGUGAGAAUCCCGUCUUUGGCACGGACACACCAGGGCUUUUGCGAUGCGCUCUCGAAGAGUCGAGUUGUUUGGGAAUGCAGCUCAAAAUGGGUGGUGAACUCCAUCUAAAGCUAAAUAUUGGCGAGAGACCGAUAGCGAACAAGUACCGUGAGGGAAAGAUGAAAAGCACUUUGGAAAGAGAGUGAAACAGUACGUGAAAUUGUUGAAAGGGAAACGCUUGAAGUCAGUCGCGUCGUCCGAGACUCAGCCUCGCCUCGGCUUGGCGUACUUCUCGGCCCGACGGGUCAGCAUCGAUUUCGCCUCUCGGAUAAUGGCGAGGGAAAAGUGACACCUUUACGGUGUGUUAUAGUCUCUCGUCGCAUGCGAGGGUCGGGAUUGAGGAACUCAGCACGCGCCCACGGGCGUCGGGGCUUUCGCCCACGAUACGUGCUUAGGAUGUUGGCGUAAUGGCUUUAAACGACCCGUCUUGAAACACGG